ACGAUGCAACGUGACUUUCACUAAGUCACGUGCUGCCAACCGACGAAUCGCGUCGCUCCCUUUCCCUCACUCCGCCAACAGAGUCGCGCUUUUGCUUUCUCUUUUUUUCAAAGAACAUUACCGCAUACUUCAUGUCGUUUAGGGUGCUUCAUCACUAUCAUCGCUUCCUACACUAACUCAAUGGUUUCAUAUUAGACUCAAUUAUUCAUUCCUGACCACCGCAGACAUUAUACAAACAACAUACAACGUGCGUGAAUGUAUGAAUGAAGGCUGCAAGUCUAAGCGAUAGCAAGAAGGCAACCGAAAAGCAAGUGCGACGUUGGAUAUAUUGCAUUAUAUUCGGUUUUAGGAUUAAUUUUUUCCCCUUUCAAAUAAGCAGCCAAAUCACAUCAACAAUGAGGCGUUUACUACAUAAUACAAUCGGUGACCAGUCUGGGACAUAAAGAAUAUUCGCUUUGGAUUAUACUUUUAUUCACAAUCCUAAUUCUUUAUAUCCAUUGGAAUACUUGAUCGUUGUUGUUUUCGUGUUCAUCUCUCUUUCUAUCUAAAUUCCCUGCACAAUCAAUAUACACCGCAUUAUUAUCUAUUUAUUUUAUAUAAAUCUCAUAUACCGUCUACAGCAAGUGUUCAAUUACACAUAUAUAUAUACACAUCUAUAUCUUACAUAAAAAAUCCAUCAUCUCAAUUAUGUCUAAUGAAUCGGGUAAACAUGUCAUUCAUUGGUUUCGCAAAGGGUUGCGCCUUCACGACAACCCGGCGCUAAUGGAAGCUUUGAAGGGUGCCACAACUCUUCGAUGUAUUUACACAUUGGACCCAUGGUUUGCUGGAUCCUCGCAAGUUGGAAUUAACAAAUGGGGAUUUCUAUUGAAUUGCCUGGAAGAUUUGGAUGAUUCAUUACGGAAAUUAAAUUCCCGUUUGUUUGUAAUCCGUGGACAACCUGCUAAUAUGUUUCCUCAGCUAUUUAAAGAAUGGAAUAUCAACACACUAUCGUUUGAAGAUGAUCCUGAGCCAUUUGGAAAAGACCGUGAUAAUGCCAUCUGUACGUUAGCGAGAGAGGCUGGUGUUGAGGUGAUCAUUAGAACCUGCCACACAUUAUAUGAAUCUCAAAAGAUCCUCGAUUUAAAUGGAGGUCGACCACCUUUAACAUACAACAAAUUUCAGAAAAUUCUAGAAAAUAUGAAAAUGCCACCAAAACCAUUAGAUAUUAUUACUGCCAAUGAUUGGGGAAAUUGUCAAACACCUCUUUCAAGUGAUCAUGAUGACAAAUAUGGAGUUCCAACAUUAGAAGAUCUUGGGUUUGACACAGAAGGCCUUGAUUUGGCACAUUUUCAUGGUGGAGAAUCAGAAGCAUUAGCAAGACUAGACAGACAUUUAGAACGCAAGGCAUGGGUUGCUAGUUUUGAAAAACCCAAAAUGACACCUCAAUCUAUGUUUCCCAGUCACACAGCUUUAAGUCCUUAUUUACGAUUUAGUUGUCUAUCUCCACGGUUAUUUUAUUGGAAACUCACAGAACUCUACAGAAAAAUCAAAAAGAAAAAUAUACCACCUCUUUCACUUCAUGGUCAACUUCUCUGGAGAGAAUUCUUCUAUACAGUUGCCUCAAACAAUCCUAGAUUUGAUCAGAUGCUGGGAAAUCCAGUCUGUGUACAGAUUCCUUGGGACACAAAUCAAGAAGCAUUAGCCAAAUGGGCAGAGGGUAUGACAGGUUUUCCUUGGAUUGAUGCCAUCAUGAAACAGUUACGGAAAGAAGGCUGGAUUCAUCAUUUAGCUCGACACUCGGUUGCUUGUUUCCUAACUCGCGGAGAUCUUUGGUUAUCAUGGGAAGAAGGCAUGAAAGUAUUUGAUGAACUCCUGCUUGAUGCUGACUGGAGUGUCAAUGCUGGAAUGUGGAUGUGGCUGUCUUGUAGUUCCUUCUUUCAACAGUUUUUCCAUUGCUAUUGUCCUGUUGGAUUCGGCAAAAGAAUAGAUCCAAAUGGUGAUUUCAUCAGACACUACUUACCUAUUUUGAAACGUUUCCCAGCAAAAUACAUCUACGAACCUUGGAAUGCUCCUGAAAGUGUUCAGAAGACUGCUAAAUGUAUUGUUGGAAAAGACUAUCCUAUACCAAUGGUGACUCAUUCUGAAGUAAGUCGGAUAAAUAUGGAGCGAAUGCGUCAAGUAUACCACAGACUAACAAUGAGAACGCCAGUAAUCUCAAAACCAAUCCACUCCAGAGAAAAUUUAACUUAUUCCAAAAUUCAUCAUAACUAUCCAAUGGUACAACAUAAUGUGCAUUCAAGACCUGUUCUUUUAAGUCAAAAUUGAAAAUACUGGAAAAUAUAAACUAUACACAACACCUUAAAAAAAAAAUAAAAUUCAAUAUUCUGCAACUGAAAAAAAUCAAUUAAAAAAAAUUUUUAACCCAAAAUAAAAAAUGUUUACCAUAGAAAUCCCACAACUAAUGGAAUAUUACUGAUGGGAUUGAACUGCAAUUCUGCUGCAUCAAAUAGAAAAGAAGUCACUCAAGAUAUUUAAUUCCUUAACACACUGCCCUUAAUCCCACCCCAAAUUUCCUUCCCACCUUUUCCAUCUAAAAAAACAACAAUAACAGACACAUUUUAAUUAUUUUGCAUUUCAUUGUAAAUAUUUUACUGGGGUCUAGAUAUGAGUAUUCGUAUCGAACAAACUUUUAAGGACCAAACAAAAAAAAAAAAACAAUCAAAGAAAAAGUAUAAUUUGUAUUUCUGAAAUGAGCAGAAUUUAAUAAUUAAUAUGGUUAUUAGUUAACCUCGUAUUUUGGUACUGUUUUCACCACACUGCAUUUUGAAUUUGAUAAAAUCUACAUUCAUCUUCUGACGAUAUGCAUAUAACCAGAUAUGUCACCAUAUAUGUAUGUGUGUAUGUAUAUGUGUAUGUAUGUGUGUGUAUAUAUAUAUGUGUGUGUGUGUGUAUGUAUGUAUGUAUAUAUAUAUGUGUGUAUGUAUGUGUGUAUGUAUGUAUAUAUAUAUAUAUGUGUGUGUGUAUACAUGUAUAUGUAUCUAUAUAUAUGUGUGUGUUUAUAUAUAAUUGGAAUCUGCAACUUCAACAAUUGUUCUGAAUUUCUCAUGUUCCAAUCUUGAGACAGUAACCAAGAUUAAAAAUGAAAGAAAUGGAAAUGUUCUAAUUUCUAAUACAGCAUCUAAAAAAAGAAAAAAAAAAAAGAGAAAAAUACAAAACAAAAAAAAAAUUUCUACUGGUCAGAAAGUUUGGUCGAAAUCUAGUCUGGAAUUGUAAAAGGACAAGAAAGUAAGUUAACGAUCACAUCGAGAAAAAAAGAAAAAAAAACCCCAAAAAUGAACCCAAAUCCCACCCCAACAAAAACAAAAAAAAAAUCA